UUGACCUCGGAUCAGGUAGGGAUACCCGCUGAACUUAAGCAUAUCAAUAAGCGGAGGAAAAGAAACCAACAGGGAUUGCCCUAGUAACGGCGAGUGAAGCGGCAACAGCUCAAAUUUGAAAUCUGGCUCUUUCAGGGUCCGAGUUGUAAUUUGUAGAGGGUGCUUUGGAGUUGACUGUGGUCUAAGUUCCUUGGAACAGGACGUCGCAGAGGGUGAGAAUCCCGUAUGUGGCCGCCAGUCUUCGCCGUGUAAAGCCCCUUCGACGAGUCGAGUUGUUUGGGAAUGCAGCUCUAAAUGGGAGGUAAAUUUCUUCUAAAGCUAAAUAUUGGCCAGAGACCGAUAGCGCACAAGUAGAGUGAUCGAAAGAUGAAAAGCACUUUGGAAAGAGAGUCAAAAAGCACGUGAAAUUGUUGAAAGGGAAGCGCUUGCAGCCAGACUUGCCUGUAGUUGCUCAUCCGGGCUUUUGCCCGGUGCACUCUUCUAUAGGCAGGCCAGCAUCAGUCCUGGCGGUCGGAUAAAUGCCUGCUGAAUGUACCUCUCCUCGGGGAGGACUUAUAG
rnacentral:rRNA from 1 species